rnacentral:rRNA from 1 species
GAUGAACGCUGGCGGCGUGCCUAAUACAUGCAAGUCGAGCGAACGGACGAGAAGCUUGCUUCUCUGAUGUUAGCGGCGGACGGGUGAGUAACACGUGGAUAACCUACCUAUAAGACUGGGAUAACUUCGGGAAACCGGAGCUAAUACCGGAUAAUAUUUUGAACCGCAUGGUUCAAAAGUAAAAGACGGUCUUGCUGUCACUUAUAGAUGGAUCCGCGCUGCAUUAGCUAGUUGGUAAGGUAACGGCUUACCAAGGCAACGAUGCAUAGCCGACCUGAGAGGGGGAUCGGCCACACGGGAACUGAGACACGGUCCAGACUCCUAAGGGAGGCAGCAGUAGGGAAUCUUCCGCAAUGGGCGAAAGCCUGACGGAGCAACGCCGCGUGAGUGAUGAAGGUCUUCGGAUCGUAAAACUCUGUUAUUAGGGAAGAACAUAUGUGUAAGUAACUGUGCACAUCUUGACGGUACCUAAUCAGAAAGCCACGGCUAACUACGUG